rnacentral:misc_RNA from 1 species
GAUGAAGAACGUAGCGAAAUGCGAUAAGUAAUGUGAAUUUCAGAAUUCAGUGAAUCAUCGAGUCUUUGAACGCACAUUGCGCCCCCUGGUAUUCCGGGGGGCAUGCCUGUCCGAGCGUCAUUGCUGCCCUCAAGCACGGCUUGUGUGUUGGGCCUCCGUCCUCCUCCCGGGGGACGGGCCCGAAAGGCAGCGGCGGCACCGCGUCCGGUCCUCGAGCGUAUGGGGCUUCGUCACCCGCUCUUGUAGGCCCGGCCGGCGCUUGCCGACACAUCAAUCUUUUUUCCAGGUUGACCUCGGAUCAGGUAGGGAUACCCGCUGAACUUAAGCAUAUCAAUAAGCGGAGGA